GAUGAACGCUAGCUACAGGCUUAACACAUGCAAGUCGAGGGGCAGCGGUAUCGAAAGCUUGCUUUCGGUAGCCGGCGACCGGCGCACGGGUGAGUAACGCGUAUCGAACCUGCCUCAUACUCGGGAAUAGCCUUGCGAAAGUAAGAUUAAUGCCCGGUGUUUUCAGAGUCCCGCAUGAGGCUUUGAACAAAGAUUUAUCGGUAUGAGAUGGCGAUGCGUCCCAUUAGCUUGUUGGCGGGGUAACGGCCCACCAAGGCAUCGAUGGGUAGGGGUUCUGAGAGGAAGGUCCCCCACAUUGGAACUGAGACACGGUCCAAACUCCUACGGGAGGCAGCAGUGAGGAAUAUUGGUCAAUGGGCGGAAGUCUGAACCAGCCAAGUAGCGUGCAGGAAGACGGCCCUCCGGGUUGUAAACUGCUUUUAGUUGGGAAUAAAACGGGGCUCGUGAGCCCCCUUGCAUGUACCAUCAGAAAAAGGACCGGCUAAUUCCGUG
rnacentral:rRNA from 1 species